rnacentral:rRNA from 1 species
UACGUAGGGGGCGAGCGUUGUCCGGAAUCAUUGGGCGUAAAGAGCUCGUAGGCGGUUCAGCAAGUCGGCUGUGAAAUUCCGAGGCUCAACCUCGGAACUGCAGUCGAUACUGCUGUGACUCGAGUCCGGUAGAGGAGAAUGGAAUUCCCGGUGUAGCAGUGAAAUGCGUAGAUAUCGGGAGGAACAUCCGUGGCGAAGGCGGCCACCUGGACCAACAUUGACGCUGAGGCACGAAAGCGUGGGGAGCAAACAGG